AGCAGUAGCCACGGUAAUACGGAGGGGGCUAGCGUUGUUCGGAAUUACUGGGCGUAAAGCGUGCGUAGGCGGUUUGUUAAGUCUGCUGUGAAAUCCCCGGGCUCAACCUGGGAAUGGCAGUUGAUACUGGCAAGCUAGAGUGUGUCAGAGGAUGGUGGAAUUCCCGGUGUAGCGGUGAAAUGCGUAGAGAUCGGGAGGAACAUCAGUGGCGAAGGCGGCCAUCUGGGACAACACUGACGCUGAGGCACGAAAGCGUGGGGAGCAAACAGGAUUAGAUACCCCUGUAGUCCCUGUCUUUUAUAA
rnacentral:rRNA from 1 species